GUGUCAUUUUUUUUGUCCCCACCAAACCUUAAAAGAAAAAAAAAAACUGCUUUCUUUUCACUGUAGAUUUCACCAAUUUCUCAAUGUGUUGCGAUCAGUUUCUUAUGUUGUGGUUUUAUUUUCCUCUGCCAAAGACUUUUGAAAGGGAAAGUGUCAAACAUUGUAUAAUGUCACCUUUUUUUUUUUUUUUUGUACUGAAAAUAUUCCAAGUAGAUACAACAUAGUCUUACCAUGCUUUGUGAAGUGACACAGUGGUAGAAACACUGUCAGUGUACUCAAAUGCAGGUGAUAUUCUGCCAUAGUUCAGUGUACUGCAAGUAGAUUCAAUCUUGGGGGUGACGAGAAGCUACUGUGACCAAACUAUUUAAGCCACUAGCUGAAGUAUUAAGUGUUGUGUCUAUUGGUGUGUGUAUUAACAUAGGAGUGGUAAAGGGUGCUUUUAAAAGCAAACAUACUGUAAAUAUUACGCCUGUGCAUUUUAACUAAAUUCCAACUGCCUGCCUCUCAGCAUUCAAUCAUGGACCCUGACUGUCUGAUCUGUUUCAUGUAUGUCUUUAUAUUCUCUUCCAAAACAACCUGUCAGACUACAGAGCUGUCACAUAGUUCGGCACUACUUUGAGACAUCCUUCUGUUCACUGACAUUUGGAUAUUUUUGGAAUACUUUCUUCCUUGUCUUUAGAAGCACUGAGGGAGAAAAAAAAUGAAAUGGAUAAAAUAAAACUGAGAAACUCUUGAUGAA